ensembl:lincRNA
AUUGUCUCCUAGGAUCCUCACAACAAGACCCAUCACUAAGUAUCGUAAUACUUUUCAGACUGACCCUUCCACUGACUUGCCCCGGAUCACACUGUCAAAAGGAAGGAAACAGCUCUGGGCCCACCCGGAUCCAGCUGCGAAGUUCCGGCUCUCUCCACGCAGCCCUGCCGUCUGGCUGAAGGUCCGUGGACAGGAGCCACACGUAUUAUCAGGCUGCCUCACAUUGCGUGCAUUUUUCGUAUGUGUACGCACAUGUCAGCCAGCGCGUUGCUGUGCCUGCUGGACAUCUACUUAUCAUUGAAAAGAAAAGCAACCGUGCUCCCCUGGCAUUCACCAAAGGCGUCCACUCAUUCAAGCAUUCGCCGACUCAUUCGAUCUGCAUUGUGGGGUCCCUGCGGCAUUAGGUACUGUGCUCUGCAUAGACGUGCAGGUUACAGAAACUGUUCAUGGAAUAUGAACUCAGUAGACCUGAGUUCACACCUCAGCUUCUUUCUGUCCUAUAGCUUUGGUCUUGCACGUGUUGGCCCUCUAACCCUCAGAUUCAGCUCCUUCUUUCAAAUUCCCUGUCUCAGCCGUGAAAACACCUCAUCUUCCUGCCCUGUUCAGAACCUUAGUAAUUAUUCAUUUUCUUCACUUAACCCUCUCCCUAAUGUCUGAUCAGUUCCCCGCAGUGAUGCAUGAUUUAACUCUUAAAUAUCUCUUUGUCAUUAGUAUCACCGUUAAUCCAUUCGGCAGAUAUUCACUGAGAGUCUGCUGUGUCCCAGGCUCUCUGCUGGACUGAGGGUACCUGUCCCCAGGGGGCUCUCAGACUGGCCAUGUGCACCCAGGAAUAUACACUUUCCCCUCCGUUGAAUGGGUACAAUGAUUCUAAAACCUGACGCUUAACUUCCCAUUUCCUCACUGCCAGACACUGUUUUAUGUGGUUUACAUGCAUUAAAUGAUUUAAGCACAAUAAGCCUAAGAGCUAGGUACUCUUAUUAUCAUCACUUUAUAGAUAAAGAAACUAAGGCAACAGAGUGAAUAAGCAGCUUGUCCAAGGUCACACAGCUAGUUAGCAGUGGAGGUAUGGUGCAGUGUCCUAAAAGCUGGCUUCGUAGCCAUUGCUAUUAACCACCACCAAACUCUGCCUCUGCUCUAGGGGAUGGGAGAAAAUUUUCAGGGUGCCAUAGGAAGAGCUUCUAGCCAGACUGAAGGUCCUUCCCUGAGCUGUUGUCUAUGCUGACCCUUCCAUGUGAGUAGGGGUGAGCCAGAGCAAUUCACCCCAUUCCCACUGCCACACCCCUGACCUCAGCCAGCCUCUUCACUGCUCCCUCCCCCGUUAGUCCAUUCUUCCCACCUGUACCACAGUGAGCUUUCCAGCCAAAGCUGGUCCUAUUACUACACUUCUUACAUUUUAGACUGUCUUUCCACCCUCUGUAGGAGAUGUCUAAACUCCUCUGCAGGAACAGCGAGUAGCUUUCAGCUUUGCUCCCAGCCUUCCCUGGACUUGGCCACACGGAAUCACUUGUGGUCCUCUCAAAGAAACAUGCUCACUUGUGCCUCCUUUGGUGGCAAAUUCCACUUCUACAGCUCCUAUGGAUCCUUCCACACUCACCUCCUUUGAGGAUGCCUCCUUAGACCCCAUUCCCAUUGAUAGCACUUCCCAUUGAAGUGCUUUUGGUGAUAAGCCCAUCACCCAAAUACUCUUAAUUUAACUUCUCCCACUGAACUGCAACAGUUGCAUUUUGAAUCUGUUUCUUUCAUCAUACAGUAAAACCCUUGAAGAGUUUUCCCCAACUCCUAAAAGAGCUUGGCAUCCAGUGAACUUUUAGAAUGAAUGAAUGAAUAAAUAAAUGAGUACUGAGAACAAAGACCAUUUUUAUGUCUCUUUAUCUGUUGCCACUCAUAAUACAGUGCUAAAGACUAGACAGAUCCAGUUAAACUU